rnacentral:rRNA from 1 species
UGCAAGUCGAGCGGACAGAUGGGAGCUUGCUCCCUGAUGUUAGCGGCGGACGGGUGAGUAACACGUGGGUAACCUGCCUGUAAGACUGGGAUAACUCCGGGAAACCGGGGCUAAUACCGGAUGCUUGUUUGAACCGCAUGGUUCAAACAUAAAAGGUGGCUUCGGCUACCACUUACAGAUGGACCCGCGGCGCAUUAGCUAGUUGGUGAGGUAACGGCUCACCAAGGCAACGAUGCGUAGCCGACCUGAGAGGGUGAUCGGCCACACUGGGACUGAGACACGGCCCAGACUCCUACGGGAGGCAGCAGUAGGGAAUCUUCCGCAAUGGACGAAAGUCUGACGGAGCAACGCCGCGUGAGUGAUGAAGGUUUUCGGAUCGUAAAGCUCUGUUGUUAGGGAAGAACAAGUACCGUUCGAAUAGGGCGGUACCUUGACGGUACCUAACCAGAAAGCCACGGCUAACUACGUGCCAGCAGCCGCGGUAAUACGUAGGUGGCAAGCGUUGUCCGGAAUUAUUGGGCGUAAAGGGCUCGCAGGCGGUUCCUUAAGUCUGAUGUGAAAGCCCCCGGCUCAACCGGGGAGGGUCAUUGGAAACUGGGGAACUUGAGUGCAGAAGAGGAGAGUGGAAUUCCACGUGUAGCGGUGAAAUGCGUAGAGAUGUGGAGGAACACCAGUGGCGAAGGCGACUCUCUGGUCUGUAACUGACGCUGAGGAGCGAAAGCGUGGGGAGCGAACAGGAUUAGAUACCCUGGUAGUCCACGCCGUAAACGAUGAGUGCUAAGUGUUAGGGGGUUUCCGCCCCUUAGUGCUGCAGCUAACGCAUUAAGCACUCCGCCUGGGGAGUACGGUCGCAAGACUGAAACUCAAAGGAAUUGACGGGGGCCCGCACAAGCGGUGGAGCAUGUGGUUUAAUUCGAAGCAACGCGAAGAACCUUACCAGGUCUUGACAUCCUCUGACAAUCCUAGAGAUAGGACGUCCCCUUCGGGGGCAGAGUGACAGGUGGUGCAUGGUUGUCGUCAGCUCGUGUCCAGAGAUGUUGGGUUAAGUCCCGCAACGAGCGCAACCCUUGAUCUUAGUUGCCAGCAUUCAGUUGGGCACUCUAAGGUGACUGCCGGUGACAAACCGGAGGAAGGGGGGGGAUGAAGUCCAAUCUUCUUGCCCCCUAUGACCUGGGCUACAAACGUGCUACAAUGGACAGAAAAAAGGGCGGCGAAACCGCGAGGUUAAGCCAAUCCCACAAAUCUGUUCUCAGUUC